AGUCUCACAAGGUAAGAGACUGGAACAUAGGUAAAGUUAAGAGACCUCGGUAUAGAGGCAGGUAAAGUUAAGAGACCUCGGGAUAGAGGCAAGUAAAGUUAUAAGACCUCGGUAUAGAGGCAGGUAUUCUUUCUCCUUCUUCUUUGGUGUUUUUUCUCUUUCUUUUCUUCCUCUUUUCGCCCUUUGGCUGCAGGCUGGUCCUAACCAAAAUGGGCAACUCUUCCUCUCACCCCCUCUUUCAGGCGCUUAAAGCGCUCUUAA